UACGAGGGGGGCGAGCGUUGUUCGGAAUUAUUGGGCGUAAAGGGUGCGUAGGCGGUUUGGUAAGUCUGAUGUGAAAUCUAUGGGCUCAACUCAUAGUCUGCAUCGGAAACUGCCGGGCUUGAGUAUGGGAGAGGUGAGUGGAAUUCCUGGUGUAGCGGUGAAAUGCGUAGAUAUUGGGAGGAACACCAGUGGCGAAGGCGGCUCACUGGACCGGAACUGACGCUGAGGCGCGAAAGCGUGGGGAGCAAACGGG
rnacentral:rRNA from 1 species